rnacentral:rRNA from 1 species
UACAGAGGUCCCAAGCUUUGUUCGGAUUCACUGGGCGUAAAGCGGGUGCAUGUGGCUUUGUAAGUCAGGUGUGAAAUCCCAGGGCUCAACCCUGGAAGUGCAUUUGAUACUGCAAAGCUUGAGUGCUAGAGAGGUAAGUAGAAUACCUGGUGUAGUGGUGAAAUACGUAGAUAUCAGGUGGAACACCGGAGGCGAAGGCGGCUUACUGGCUAGACACUGACACUCAGACCCGAAAUCGUGGGGAUCAAACAUG